CCCCGGCACGUGCGAAGUCUCACCCGCGCUCCGCCCCGGCAGCCAGGAGUCCGCGGAGAAGCCGGCUACCCGGGCCCCAGCGGGGAUGCGGGCGCCCCGGGGGUGCAGGGCUACCCCGGGCCCCCCGGCCCUCGAGGACUGGCGGGAGNNNNNNNNNNNNNNNNNNNNNNNNNNNNNNNGCCGGCGGGGCUUCUUCCUGGAGGCCUCCUCUGCCCGCAGGGCCGGGACGCCAGCGACCAGCACAUCGUGACCGUGAUGAUGAAGAUGAUGCAAGGUGAGGGCGGGCGGCCCCUCCUCCCCCAGCUCUGCUCCCGCAGGGCCCGCGGCUGCCCCGCCUCCGCCCUCGCUGGUCUUCGGUUUCCGCGAAGGCAGGGGAGGAGGAGGGGGCAGGACGCUCGUGGCUCACGCGUCUCCACACCUGGGGGUCUUCACACCUGGGGCCCGGGGCCCGGGGCCCUGCGCCCGCUCCGCCUUCGGGCUGGACUGAGCUGACCCCCAUCUCACUGACCUCCCUCCCUCCCUCCAGAGCAACUGGCAGAGGUCGCUGUGAGUGCCAAGCGGGAGGCCCUGGGUGCCGUCGGGAUGGUGGGUCCGCCAGGACCCCCCGGGCCUCCUGGGUACCCAGGCAAGCAGGGACCCCAUGGGCACCCUGGCCCUCGGGGCGUUCCUGGCAUCGUGGGAGCCGUGGGUCAGAUUGGCAACACCGGCCCCAAGGGAAAACGUGGAGAGAAGGGUGACUGGGGAGAGAUGGGACGCGGGCACCCUGGGAUGCCUGGACCCCCCGGGAUCCCAGGGCUCCCCGGCCGGCCCGGGCAGGCAAUCAAUGGCAAGGACGGGGCCCGCGGUGCCCCAGGGGCCCCGGGGGAAGCAGGCCGACCGGGUCCGCCGGGCCCCGUGGGGCUGCCCGGCUUCUGUGAGCCCACGGCCUGCCUGGCAGCCUCGGCCUACGCCUCUGCGCGCCUCACGGAGCCCGGAUCCAUCAAAGGGCCAUGAGCAGGAGGCCAGGACAGAGCCUGAUGGGCAUCCUGGUGGGGGGGGGGGGACUAGAUUCCCGCGGGGUGGACACGCACCCCAUCCCUCAGACCAGGAAGCCAGCUUUCCAGGCCCUUCCAUCCGGGACCCUGGAGUCCUGAGGAAAAGGAAAUUCUAA
rnacentral:lncRNA from 1 species